CGCACGGGUGAGUAACACGUAUCCAACCUGCCGUCUACUCUUGGACAGCCUUCUGAAAGGAAGAUUAAUACAAGAUGGCAUCAUGAGUUCACAUGUUCACAUGAUUAAAGGUAUUCCGGUAGACGAUGGGGAUGCGUUCCAUUAGAUAGUAGGCGGGGUAACGGCCUACCUAGUCUUCGAUGGAUAGGGGUUCUGAGAGGAAGGUCCCCCACAUUGGAACUGAGACACGGUCCAA
rnacentral:rRNA from 1 species